AGUUUCAGGGCAAGGUGAAAUUCCUGACCGGUGGUAAACCCCACGAACCAUAUAUUGGUUGAUCUAGUGAAAUUCUAGAGGCGACAGUAAAGUCUGGAUGAAAGAAA
rnacentral:ncRNA from 1 species